rnacentral:rRNA from 1 species
AGCGAACGCUGGCGGCAGGCUUAACACAUGCAAGUCGAGCGGGCCCUUCGGGGUCAGCGGCGGACGGGUGAGUAACGCGUGGGAACGUGCCUUCUGGUUCGGAAUAACCCUGGGAAACUAGGGCUAAGUACCGGAUACGCCCUUUUGGGAAAGGUUUACUGCCGGAAGAUCGGCCGCGUCUGAUUAGCUAGUUGGUGGGGUAACGGCCUACCAAGGCGAACGAUCAGUAGCCGGACUGAGAGGUUGGCCGGCCACAUUGGGACUGAGGCACGGCCCAGACUCCUACGGAGCAGCAGUGGGAAUAGUUGGGCAAUGGGCGCGAAGCCUGACCCCAGCCAAACGCCGCGUGAAGGAAGAA